GGGUUGUGAGGUUAAGCGACUAAGCGUACACGGUGGAUGCCCUGGCAGUCAGAGGCGAUGAAGGGCGUGCUAAUCUGCGAUAAGCGCCGGUAAGGUGAUAUGAACCGUUAUAACCGGCGAUACCCGAAUGGGGAAACCCAGUGUGACUCGUCACACUAUCAUUAACUGAAUCCAUAGGUUAAUGAGGCGAACCGGGGGAACUGAAACAUCUAAGUACCCCGAGGAAAAGAAAUCAACCGAGAUUCCCCCAGUAGCGGCGAGCGAACGGGGAGGAGCCCAGAGCCUGAAUCAGCAUGUGUGUUAGUGGAAGCGUCUGGAAAGGCGCGCGAUACAGGGUGACAGCCCCGUACACAAAAGCGCAUGUGCUGUGAGCUCGAUGAGUAGGGCGGGACACGUGGUAUCCUGUCUGAAUAUGGGGGGACCAUCCUCCAAGGCUAAAUACUCCUGACUGACCGAUAGUGAACCAGUACCGUGAGGGAAAGGCGAAAAGAACCCCGGCGAGGGGAGUGAAAAAGAACCUGAAACCGUGUACGUACAAGCAGUGGGAGCACAGGUUUACCUGUGUGACUGCGUACCUUUUGUAUAAUGGGUCAGCGACUUAUAUUCUGUAGCAAGGUUAACCGAAUAGGGGAGCCGGAGGGAAACCGAGUCUUAAUUGGGCGUUAAGUUGCAGGGUAUAGACCCGAAACCCGGUGAUCUAGCCAUGGGCAGGUUGAAGGUUGGGUAACACUAACUGGAGGACCGAACCGACUAAUGUUGAAAAAUUAGCGGAUGACCUGUGGCUGGGGGUGAAAGGCCAAUCAAACCGGGAGAUAGCUGGUUCUCCCCGAAAGCUAUUUAGGUAGCGCCUCGUGAAUUCAUCUCCGGGGGUAGAGCACUGUUUCGGCUAGGGGGCCAUCCCGGCUUACCAACCCGAUGCAAACUGCGAAUACCGGAGAAUGUUAUCACGGGAGACACACGGCGGGUGCUAACGUCCGUCGUGAAGAGGGAAACAACCCAGACCGCCAGCUAAGGUCCCAAAGUCAUGGUUAAGUGGGAAACGAUGUGGGAAGGCCCAGACAGCCAGGAUGUUGGCUUAGAAGCAGCCAUCAUUUAAAGAAAGCGUAAUAGCUCACUGGUCGAGUCGGCCUGCGCGGAAGAUGUAACGGGGCUAAACCAUGCACCGAAGCUGCGGCAGCGACGCUUAUG
rnacentral:rRNA from 1 species